UAUAAAGUGCCUGAUAUUAAAAAGGAUUAUUAUGAUAUAAUAAAUUAUGUUAAUAAAUAACCUUUAUUU
rnacentral:tRNA from 1 species